AACCCGGUUAGUCUGACGGAGCAUACCGCGUGAGGGAAGAGUGCCUAUGGGUUGUAAACCUCUUUUUUCAGGGAGGAAUAAAUGACGUGUACCUGAAGAAUAAGCAUCGGCUAACUCCGUGCCAGCCGCCGCGGUAAGACGGAAGAUGCAAGUGUUAUCCGGAAUCACUGGGCGUAAAGCGUCUGUAGGUGGUUUAAUAAGUCAACUGUUAAAUCUUGAGGCUCAACUUCAAAAUCGCAGUCCAAACUAUUAAACUAGAGUAUAGUAAAGGUAAAGGGAAUUUCCAGUGGAGCGGUGAAAUGCGUAAAUUUUGGAAAGAACACCGAUGGCGAAAGCACUUUACUGGGCUAUUACUAACACUCAAAAACCAAAGCUAGGGUAGCAAAUGGGAUUAAAUACCCCCCGUAAUCCAAGCCCUUUUACCCCCCAGUGAAAAAAAGGGGGGUUUAUCCCCCCCGCUUUAAAACCCCCCCUCUUAACCCCCCCCUAU
rnacentral:rRNA from 1 species